UCUCUCCGCCCCCUCCUCUGCCAUCUCCUAGCCACUGGGAGGGCGCCCAGGGGCGGAGGAGGUGCUGCGAACCCGUUUGGGGGCUUCUUUGUUUCUCUUCGGGGCCCUUGGGAGGGCCGAUCAGCCUGCUGUACCCAAGCUUUGGGAUGCUAGCCCGGCUUGGGCGGCGACCCGACCCAAGCCAACAAUUGAACCUCGCGGGAGAAGAGAGGCAGAACUUUACAGAAGAGGAAACCGAAUGAAACCAAGUGAAGCCUCAAUUCCCAUCCUCCUCCUUCCCCUGCGAGCACCUCCCUUCCAACCUGGCUCAUCACUCCAGAUGCCCAGUGAUUUCUCAAUAGACCCUUCCCUUUGUCUGCCAGGAAUCUGAUCUUUCCACCAGAUGAGUUCAAGACUGACUGUUUUUCAAACCAUAUCUAAAAAGCCACACAGAACCCUAAACACGUAUUUCACCAGAUUUGACAUAUGAGCUUUGGUAUGAAGAAAACCUCCAAGAAUGGACUUGGCUGAGGUGCAACAAUAAACACCAGAAUCAACCAAAUGGUAAUACCAACCAGAAAUUUGUAAGAAAAAAAAAAGUAAAUCAACAAAAGUCUCUUGUAUAAAGUAAUAUUAAAGGUUUCUGAAUACACACAAUUCCAACAAACUGCUACAAAGAAUGCUUAUUCACCUCAGUUAAUUGCUAAGUUGUUCAGUCUGGUUUCCAGGGCUGCUGUGUCUAUUUGGCUGAAAGAGAUUUUCUUCCUGUUGUGUCAUGAAGAUCGCUUGGUAAGUCAGCAUCUCUCAGGGUGUUGGUGCAGCGAUCCUGAGGAAGGCUUUCUUUUCCUCUAGGCACUUUCUCCCUUUCUAUUUCUCUUUCUACCAAAGGCAAAGGGUACCAAAGUUUCACA